rnacentral:tRNA from 1 species
GCUCAGGUGGCGGAAUGGCAGACGCGAUGGACUCAAAAUCCAUUGGCCGCAAGGUCAUGAGGGUUCGACUCCCUCCCUGAGCA